rnacentral:rRNA from 1 species
CCUACGGGAGGCAGCAGUGGGGAAUUGUUCGCAAUGGGCGCAAGCCUGACGACGCAACGCCGCGUGGAGGAUGAAGACCUUCGGGUCGUAAACUCCUUUCGAUCGAGACGAAUGUUUUCCGGGUGAACAAUCCGGAAAAGUGACGGUACCGAGAGAAGAAGCCCCGGCUAACUCUGUGCCAGCAGCCGCGGUAAUACAGGGGGGGCAAGCGUUGUUCGGAAUUACUGGGCGUAAAGGGCUUGUAGGUGGCCAACUAAGUCAGACGUGAAAUCCCUCAGCUUAACUGGGGAACUGCGUCUGAUACUGGAUGGCUUGAGUUUGGGAGAGGGAUGCGGAAUUCCAGGUGUAGCGGUGAAAUGCGUAGAUAUCUGGAGGAACACCGGUGGCGAAGGCGGCAUCCUGGACCAACACUGACACUGAGGAGCGAAAGCCAGGGGAGCAAACGGGAUUAGAUACCCCGGUAGUCCUGGCCCUAAACGAUGAAUGCUUGGUGUGGCGGGUAUCGAUCCCUGCCGUGCCGAAGCUAACGCAUUAAGCAUUCCGCCUGGGGGAGGUACGGUCGGCGAGAAGUGAACGUUACAAUAGUUAGUUAGUAGGCGNGNGAGAGCGACGGACGACGACGAGGAGGAGG